ACUCAAAUGAAUUGACGGGGACCCACACAAGCGGUGGAGCAUGGGGUUUAAUUCGAUGAUAAGCGAAGCACCUCACCCAGACUUGACAUGUCAGAAAUCCCGCAGAAAUGUAGGAGUGCCGCAAGGAAUCUGAACACAGGCGGUGCACGGUCGUCGUCAGCUCGUGCCUUGAGGUGUACUGUUCAGUCAGCCAACGAGCGCAACCCUCAUCUCGUGUUGUUAUUUCACGAGAGACUGCCGCCUCCAAGGCGGAGGAAGGUGAGGAUGACGUCAGAUCAGCGUGCCCUUUAUGUCUGGGGCCACACCCGUGCUACAAUGGUCGGUACAAACGGCAGCUAACCCGCAAGGGGGCGCAAAUCCGAUAAAACCGAUCUCAGUCCGGAUUGAAGUCUGCAACUCGACUUCAUGAAGUUGGAAUCGCUAGUAACCGUGAAUCAGCUACGUCACGGUGAAUAUGUUCCUGGGUCUUGUACACACCGCCCGU
rnacentral:rRNA from 1 species